rnacentral:rRNA from 1 species
UACGUAGGUGGCAAGCGUUGUCCGGAUUUACUGGGCGUAAAGAGCGCGCAGGCGGUCGUUCAAGUCGCGUGUGAAAGCCCCCGGCUCAACUGGGGAGGGUCACGCGAUACUGAUCGACUCGAAGGCAGGAGAGGGAAGUGGAAUUCCCGGUGUAGUGGUGAAAUGCGUAGAUAUCGGGAGGAACACCAGUGGCGAAGGUGACUUCCUGGCCUGUUCUUGACGCUGAGGCGCGAAAGCUAGGGGAGCAAACGGG